rnacentral:tRNA from 1 species
GGGCCUGUGGUCUAGCGGUCACAGUUUUUUGGUCAAGCUUUUUGCUUUCAAAAAGGUUGCCGUACAUGACGACACCCUUACAAGGUGUAGGUCACCAGUUCGAACGUCUGGUCGGGCCCA